CUCAUUCCCAUUCAACUCUCGAAAUUCCAACCGUCCGGGUCUGACUGUUUCCAAAUUUGUUCCGUUCGGGGUCCAUUUCGCCGUCUGCACAAUGGGUUGCCUAUUCAAUCCUGGAUAUAUUGGACCGUGUCCGCCCUGCUGUGGCGAUAGUUGCGGACCCUGUGGACCCUGCGGUGGCUGUGGACCCUGUGGACCCUGCGGUGGCUGUGGACCCUGUGGUGGCUGUGGACUUUGCGGUGGCUGUGGUCCUUGCGGGCCUUGCUGUGGCCCUUGCGGUGGAUGCUGCAGCUCCUGUCCCUGCGGCUGGUGAAAUAGCGGACACCCCAACAGAUCUCUGUACUCUGUACCAACAAUUUUGAAACUUGCAGCCAAAGAACAAUAGAACCAACGGACCACCGUGAAAGCAAA